UGACGACGACCCGCUGGGCCGCUGAAUAUAUAGCGCCCCCUCCAACAGCCGGCGGAGACCCUCCGCUUGCUGGCGCGCAGACCGGUUGCCGCCAGAUAGGGCCCAAAGUGCGUCAUCCGCGGAGGAAUCUUUGUACCCGACGCGGUUAGCCGUAGGCCGCGGGACCUCGGCGCCGAGGGGCAGCGAUAAAGUAAAACGCAUUUCGGUUGGAAAGGAGCUCUUGAUAGGGGGGUCACGGCUAUGACGUCGGUGAAAAAAAAGUGAGGAAAACAUUUCUUACAAUUCGGUGGAGGUUCACCUUGACACUCAGGCUUCUCGUAUUGGAAGUGGACGAGCAGGAUACUAUCACGUGCACUCCAUCGGACCACCAACACAAGCUGAGUGAAUGACACAGUGGAAAAUUUUUAAGCUCGUGGUGGCAUUUUCCCAGCGUUGCUCUCUUAGCCAGCGGGGAUUACAUGUAUCGCCUCAUAUUAUGAGGCAUUUUCCAAACUUUUUCUUCUGCGGCACAAAUGAUCAUCACUGCAAAAUGAACGAUGUUCCUGACUCUUGGACACUGAGCUGCUGCAACAAUGGAUCGUUUGUGAAUCAUAUGGUAAUCUCCAGUUGCUGAUAUGGCACACACGUUCUCCAGACCUGGUACCGUGUGAUAUUUACCUGUGGGACUACAUCAAAAGCACUGUUUUCACACAUCCAUCGCCCCGCAACAUCGCUGACUUACGAGGACGUAUGAGGGCAGCGGCACUAGCUUCUGCGCGGACACUUUUGGAUGCACCUUCGCAUUCUGAUGUCUAAUGGACCUCUGGAAUCCGUCGCUGCAGUUUAUCGGUUUUAUUAAUGUUUACCUUGUAUGGUAUUGUAAACAGUAUCACCUUAGUAUUUAUUUC